rnacentral:rRNA from 1 species
AUUGAACGCUGGCGGCAUGCUUUACACAUGCAAGUCGAACGGUAACAGGCCGCAAGGUGCUGACGAGUGGCGAACGGGUGAGUAAUGCAUCGGAACGUGCCCAGUCGUGGGGGAUAACUACUCGAAAGAGUAGCUAAUACCGCAUACGAUCUAUGGAUGAAAGCGGGGGACCGUAAGGCCUCGCGCGAUUUGAGCGGCCGAUGUCAGAUUAGGUAGUUGGUGGGGUAAAGGCUCACCAAGCCAACGAUCUGUAGCUGGUCUGAGAGGACAACCAGCCACACUGGGACUGAGACACGGCCCAGACUCCUACGGGCGGCAGCAGUGGGGAAUUUUGGACAAUGGGCGCAAGACUGAUCCAGCAAUGCCGCGUGCAGGAAGAAGGCCUUCGGGUUGUAAACUGCUUUUGUACGGAACGAAACGGCUCUGGUUAAUACCCGGGGCUAAUGACGGUACCGUAAGAAUAAGCACCGGCUAACUACGUG